rnacentral:rRNA from 1 species
GACGAACGCUGGCGGCGCGCUUAACACAUGCAAGUCGAACGGAAAGGCCUGCUUUCCCUUGUGGAUUGCGGGUACUCGAGUGGCGAACGGGUGAGUAACACGUGAGUGAUCUGCCCCCAACUUGGGUAUAAGCCUGGGAAACUGGGUCUAAUUCCCGAUAGGACUGCAGGGUGGUGCCUGUGGUGGAAAACGAUUUUCUAGUGGUUGGGGAUGAGCUCGCGGCCUAUCAGCUUGUUGGUGGGGUAAUGGCCCACCAAGGCGGCGACGGGUAGCCGGCCUGAGAGGGUGGACGGCCACAUUGGGACUGAGAUACGGCCCAGACUCCUACGGGAGGCAGCAGUGGGGAAUAUUGCACAAUGGGCGGAAGCCUGAUGCAGCGACGCCGCGUGGGGGAUGACGGCCUUCGGGUUGUAAACUCCUUCCGACCGCGAGGAAGCCACCUGGUUGGAAGGGUGGUGACGGUAGUGGUAGAAGAAGCACCGGCUAACUACGUG